GAGGUUAUAAAUAGCAUGGUGGCGUC
rnacentral:sRNA from 1 species